GAGUUUGAUCAUGGCUCAGAUUGAACGCUGGCGGCAUGCCUUACACAUGCAAGUCGAACGGCAGCACGGGAGCUUGCUCCUGGUGGCGAGUGGCGAACGGGUGAGUAAUGCAUCGGAACGUAUCCUGGAGUGGGGGAUAACGUAGCGAAAGUUACGCUAAUACCGCAUAUUCUGUGAGCAGGAAAGCGGGGGACCUUCGGGCCUCGCGCUCUUGGAGCGGCCGAUGUCGGAUUAGCUAGUUGGUGAGGUAAAGGCGUCACCAAGGCGACGAUCCGUAGCAGGUCUGAGAGGAUGAUCUGCCACACUGGAACUGAGACACGGUCCAGACUCCUACGGAGGCAGCAGUGGGGAAUUUUGGACAAUGGGGGCAACCCUGAUCCAGCCAUGCCGCGUGAGUGAAGAAGGCCUCGG
rnacentral:rRNA from 1 species